GUAAACAGGUGGUGCAUGGUUGUCGUCAGCUCGUGUCGUGAGAUGUUGGGUUAAGUCCCGCAACGAGCGCAACCCUCGUUCUAUGUUGCCAGCACGUAAUGGUGGGAACUCAUGGGAUACUGCCGGGGUCAACUCGGAGGAAGGUGGGGAUGACGUCAAAUCAUCAUGCCCCUUAUGUCUUGGGCUUCACGCAUGCUACAAUGGCCGGUACAAAGGGCUGCAAUACCGUAAGGUGGAGCGAAUCCCAAAAAGCCGGUCCCAGUUCGGAUUGAGGUCUGCAACUCGACCUCAUGAAGUCGGAGUCGCUAGUAA
rnacentral:rRNA from 1 species